rnacentral:rRNA from 1 species
UACGAGGGGGGCGAGCGUUGUUCGGAAUUAUUGGGCGUAAAGGGCGCGUAGGCGGUCGGAUAAGUCUUGUGUGAAAUCUUCGGGCUCAACUCGAAGUCUGCGCAGGAAACUAUCUGGCUUGAGUGUGGGAGAGGUGAGUGGAAUUCCUGGUGUAGCGGUGAAAUGCGCAGAUAUCAGGAGGAACACCAAUGGCGAAGGCAGCUCGCUGGGACGGUACUGACGCUGAGACGCGAAAGCGUGGGGAGCAAACAGG